rnacentral:lncRNA from 1 species
GCUGCGCUGAACUGCGGUGCGCUGCCCGCGGUGGUUAGCGAGCUGAAGAGAGCAGCGGUACGGGCUGUCCUUCCUUUCGAGGCUGACCCUUCAAGCAAAGGAGGAGGCAGAACUUCUGGCGGGCGGCGGCCCCGAGCCCCAGGCAGAGGCAAUCUGUUGGCCCUCUUCUUGCACCUGGGAAAGCCAUCCCUGCAUCCCAGACAGGAGAGUGUCUGGAUAAUCUGUUUAAGGAGAGAACAGAACAAGUUUUGGAGGAAUGCUGAAGCCCUCUGGACUACUCCAAAGACUUCACAGAGAGGACUAGUCAUAACAGCCAGUACUUUCCAAGCUUGUAAGGGAAGCUGGGGCGCCAGCACUUUGCUUCAUGAUCUGAGGUGUAAUGUCUCCAGCUGCUAUAGUAUGAUCCCACCCAUUGUGACUAGCUUGAUACCUGUGCAAGGUGGCAGACAAGAAGAUCAUCAGUGAAGGAAUGUUAAUGCCUGUAAUAACUACCUCUUGAAAAUGUUUUACUCUUCAAAAGAACAAGGCUG